UAAGAAAUUGAUCAAAUGGCCCUGCCUCCUGAAAGCUGACUCAGCCAAUGAGAUGGUUUGUGUCUCCACAGGAAGUAAAAGCAGAAUCAGCUGGUGAGGAGAAGGUGCAGCAGAGAGGCUGUUUAGAGGAAGAACAUUGUUCAUCUGUUUUCUGUUUGGCUUCAACAUCUCAAAGACAUGAUGUUUUCCCUCUUUCUGUCUUUAUCUUACUUCAUAGCCAUGGGUUCUAUGAACAGCAUCAAGCCAGAAAGUUCUGAAGAAGUUGUACCAGAAGGAGGAAACAUCAAGCUGAGCUGUAAAUAUGAGGGGAGUAUCUACAAUAUCCAGUGGUACAAACAACAGCAUCAGAGAUCCAGACCAGAGUUCCUGCUCCUCAUCUCAGAGGAUGGAUCCAUCAGUCCAGAGAUUUCUGGUAUCUCUGCUCACAUCAACAAAACAGACAAAUGUGUAGAUCUGGAGAUCAACUCAGCUGCAGUGACAGACUCUGCUGUUUACUACUGUGCUGUG